rnacentral:lncRNA from 1 species
AAAAAGCAAACCAGGACUCUUCUUCUUCUUCUUCUCUCUCUCUCUCUCUCUCUCGUGCUCUGUUUCGAGAAGCAGAGCAUGGAGCGUGGUUUCAUCUUCUGCUUUUUCUUACUUCUUUGCAUUUUCUGUAUUGCAGGUGAAAAUGCCUUUAAUUAAACCUUCUGGUUUUAUGUAGCGUUUUAUCUUUUAUGGUAUUUACUAGUAACCAGACGCUCCUUUUGUAUUUUUUUUACUAAAGAAUGUGCUCUACAUUUUGCAGAUGCGGGCUCAAUCGGAGUUAACUAUGGAAGAAUCGCCAACAACUUACCUUCUGCAGUGAAAGUGGUGCAGCUUCUCAAGUCUCAAGGUCUGCAGCGGGUAAAGGUUUUCGACGCUGAUCCGGCUGUACUCAAAGCUUUAUCUGGAUCCUCGAUUAAAGUAACCGUC